UACGGAGGAUGCGAGCGUUAUCCGGAUUUAUUGGGUUUAAAGGGUGCGUAGGCGGGAUGCCAAGUCAGCGGUAGAAAUGCGGUGCUCAACGCCGUCGAGCCGUUGAAACUGGCGUUCUUGAGUGGGCGAGAAGUAUGCGGAAUGCGUGGUGUAGCGGUGAAAUGCAUAGAUAUCACGCAGAACUCCGAUUGCGAAGGCAGCAUACCGGCGCCCUACUGACGUUGAGGCACGAAAGCGUGGGUAUCGAACAGG
rnacentral:rRNA from 1 species